UGCUGUCCUGACACCUGUCCUGCCAACACUAUGAAGACUAUAGGAGCCUGGGAUGAUGGCAGUCUGGGUUUCCACUUGGCUGACAGAUACAUCCAAGCAUCAUUUGCUGGUGACAACCUACUGCAAAUGACUGUGAGCCCUGAACUUGCUGAAAGCUGAUAUGGACCAAUUCAGCCGAUAUGCAUACCAUCUCUUCAGCUGGUCAAUAAAACGUUCCCUCUUGUCUUUGA